GUGUUACUGUGAGCUGUGAUGUAGAUCGCAGACUCUGCUUGGAUCCUGCGUUGCUAUGGCUGUAGUGUUGGCUGGCAGCUGUAGCUCCGAUUUGACCUCUAGCCUGGCAACCUCCAUAUGCCACGGGUGCAACUCCCCCCCAAAAAAAAUGAUCUCAUAUAGCUAAAAUAUAUACAUUCACUUUUCACUUCUAUUUCCUGGUUUAUAAAGUUAGACACUAUCUAUAUACUUUCUGUUAUGAAAAUGAGGAUAUGACCUUUUUUCAUCAAGUACAGCCUCCCCUUGCUACAUGUUCCUAAUGUAGUUUCCUUAUUGGUAUUUAUAUUAGCAUAGUUACGUAGGUGUGGUACACCUAAGAACAAAGAAGCAUAUUAUGAGUCCAUUUACUUUAUUAUACAGCCUCUUUGGGGAUAUUUUCAUUGUCUUAUUGUUCCUGAAAUUAAUCCUCAAUUUUUUCAAAUGUUCCAUCGUAUCCAAUAUUCUCUCUAGAUCCUUUUCUGAGAGACACCUCCCAGGAGUACCCUUCUUGCUCUGGUCUAGUUGAAGGGCUGAAACUUUCCCACUGCCACAAAGGGCCACACACAAGCCCAUAACAGGCUUCCUGACCUUCUUGAUGAGGUGCCCUGGGCAAGCAGGAAGCACCAUCAAACUGAACGUCUCCCUUACUAAGUGCUGGGACAGAAGCGCCCUUACCCACUUCUGCCUGAUAAAGACCGAGUACUCCUUGAUAUUUAAAAAAAAAAAAAAUGAUUCCUAGAGUUCCUGUCAUGGCUCAUGGGUUACGAACCCAACUAGUAUCCAUGAGGAUGCAGGUUUGAUCCCUGGUCACGCUCAGUGGGUUGACGAUCCAGCAUUUCCGUGAGCUAUAACGUAGGUUGCAGAUGUGGCUCAGAUCCCAGGUUGCUGUGGCUGUGGUAUAGGCCAGCAGCUGCAGCUCUGAUUUGACCCUUAAGCUGGGAACUUAACAUAUGCCACAGGUCCAACCCUAAAAAGCAAAAAAUAUUUUAAAAAAUUAAAAAAAAAAAGAUUCUUGAUGGGGCGGAUUCAGUGAAAGAAACAGAAAAAUAAACUGUUAAAUGGCAACAAAGAAAAUUCCUAAGGUCAUCCAAGCAAAAAUUUAAAAGAUCAGAGAACAAAAAAAAAAAUUUUUUUUUUUUUUGGCCAUGCCUGCAACAAUUUUUUUUUUUCCUUUUUGGCCAUUCCUGGGCCAGGAAUGGAACGAAUGCCACAGCAAUGACCUGAGCCAGGGCAGCAACAACACUGGAUCCUUAAGGGGACACCACAGAGAACAAAAUCUUUGGGGAAAAUAUUAUAUAUAUGUUCCCAGGUCAUGGGCUGAGAUCGAUAUGGAAACUUGUAUAUUCACAAUCUACUUUUGCCGAUAUGCCAGAAAUUGCUAGUUGAUCACUAAAAAAGAUAUUUCUAAGAACACAGAUGGACUACACUUCCCAGAUGCCCUUGCAGUUAAGUGUUGCCACAUGACUGCAGCUAGCCAAUGGGAGGAGAGCAGAAGAUAUGUAUGCCACCUCUGGGACUGGCCCACAAAACCUCCAGGAUAGCUUCCAUAAUAUUUCUCUUUUCUGGCUGAAGGAGAACGACUACAGCCCCCAGGACACUCUUGGAAGUCGAGUGUAAAGAUGUGGAGGCCAGAAAGUGGAAGAAACCCAGGUACCCUGAGCAUGUCUUCAAGAAGAGUUGUUCCACCAGUAGGGGAAUCAACUUCUGCUAGCUUGCCCAGAACAUUCUCUGUUUUAACACUGACAUUCUCACAUCUCUGAGUCCCCCUCCAUCCUAGGCAAACCAGGACAGCUGGUCUUUUUAAGGACCAGGAGCCUCUCCUUUGGCUUUGUAAGCUAGAGACAAGCUUUUAUUACGUUAAGCCACUGAAACAUGGGAAUUUUUAUUUUUUUAUUUUUUGGCUGCACCUGUGGCAUAUGGAAUUCCUGGGCCAGGGAAUGGACCUGAGCCACAGCUGCGACCAAUGCCACAGCUGUGGCAACACCAGAUCCUUAACCCUCUGCGCCACAGUGGGAACUCCAAAAUAUGGGAAUUUAUUCAUUCCAACAGCUAGUGUUACUGAGACCAGCAUGUCAACAUAAGGGUGGUAUUUUAUAGUCAGUAAUUUGGAAGAAAGUGAGGACAGAGACAUGUGAAAUCCUUAUAACUGCUUAGCAUAUAUGAAAUUUUGCUCAAUUUUUUACUUUACUUUUAUUAAAUUGUGAUUCUGAUGAUGUAUGGGUGAUUCAUGAGUAAUGGUUGUAACUUGACUAGUAGUUCGAAUUUAUUGGUAGAACUAAUAGACAACUAUAUUUACAGAAAGUGAACCAUAUCCAUAUUUUUUAACCUCAAUCUGGUAUCUGCUCUGUUUUCCCAGUGAUGAUAU
rnacentral:lncRNA from 1 species